rnacentral:rRNA from 1 species
CAGCACCUCAAGUGGUCAGGAUGAUUAUUGGGCCUAAAGCAUCCGUAGCCGGCGCUGUAAGUUUUCGGUUAAAUCUGUACGCUCAACGUACAGGCUGCCGGGAAUACUGCAGCGCUAGGGAGUGGGAGAGGUAGACGGUACUCGGUAGGAAGGUGUAAAAUCCUUUGAUCUAUUGAUGACCACCUGUGGCGAAGGCGGUCUACCAGAACACGUCCGCCGGUGAGGGAUGAAAGCUGGGGGAGCAAACCGGAUUAGAUACCCGAGUAGUCC